rnacentral:rRNA from 1 species
AUUGAACGCUGGCGGCAUGCUUUACACAUGCAAGUCGGACGGUAACAGGCCUUCGGGUGCUGCCGAGUGGCGAACGGGGGAGUAAUGCAUCGGAACGUGUCCAGAGGUGGGGGAUAACGCAGCGAAAGCUGUGCUAAUAUCGCAUGUGAUCUGAGGCGGAAAGCGGGGGACCACGCAGCAAUGUUUGGCCUCGCGCGUCUGGAGCGGCCGAUGUCGGAUUAGGUAGUUGGUGGGGUAAAGGCCUACCAAGCCGACGAUCUGUAGCUGGUCUGAGAGGACGAUCAGCCACACUGGAACUGAGACACGGCCCAGACUCCUACGGGAGGCAGCAGUGGGGAAUUUUGGACAAUGGGCGCAAGCCUGAUCCAGCAAUGCCGCGUGCGUGAAGAAGGCCUUCGGGUUGUAAACCGCUUUUGUAGGGAACGAAAAGGAGCUGGCUAAUACCUGGCGGUGAUGACGGUACCGAAAGAAUAAGCACCGGCUAACUACGUG